GUCCCUUCGAAGACAUCCGAUAAAAUUGAAACGAUACAAAGAAGAUCAGCAUGGCCCCUGCCUGCACAAGGAUGAUACAUGUUGUUAACGUGCUUCAAAUACAUAUUU